UACGGGGGGAGCAAGCGUUGUUCGGAUUUACUGGGCGUAAAGGGCGCGUAGGCGGCCACCGCAAGUCGACUGUGAAAUCUCCGGGCUUAACCCGGAAAGGUCAGCCGAUACUGCGGGGCUAGAGUGCAGAAGGGGCAACUGGAAUUCUCGGUGUAGCGGUGAAAUGCGUAGAUAUCGAGAGGAACACCUGCGGCGAAGGCGGGUUGCUGGGGGUGUGCUGACGCUGAGACACGAAAGCCAGGGGAGCGAACGGG
rnacentral:rRNA from 1 species